rnacentral:rRNA from 1 species
CGGGGGGAGCAAGUCGUUGUUCGGAUUUACUGGGCGUAAAGGGCGCGUAGGCGGCCACCGCAAGUCGACUGUGAAAUCUCCGGGCUUAACCCGGAAAGGUCAGCCGAUACUGCGGGGCUAGAGUGCAGAAGGGGCAACUGGAAUUCUCGGUGUAGCGGUGAAAUGCGUAGAUAUCGAGAGGAACACCUGCGGCGAAGGCGGGUUGCUGGGCUGACACUGACGCUGAGGCGCGAAAGCUAGGGGAGCGAACGGGAUUAGAUACCCCGGUAGUCCUAGCCUUAAACGAUGAAUGCUUGGUGUCUGGGGUUUUAUAGUCCCCGGGUGCCGUCGCUAACGCUUUAAGCAUUCCGCCUGGGGAGUACGGUCGCAAGACUG